AACCAUAGAAACCUGCGGAGUACCUGCGGAAGGAUCAUUAUAGGAAAUAUAAAACCAUAAAGUUGUGGAGGGGGGAUUGAGGGGGGAAUGUACACUCUGCAUCUCUCUCUCUUUUUUCUCUCUGCUUCUUCAAACAAACUACCGCAACAAUCAUAUGUGAAUGUGAAUUGGUGAGGGGAUGAUAUAUAUAUAAGUGCUUGCCUGAUACACUGAUGGAUUGAGGGGAAAGAAAAAAACAAA
rnacentral:misc_RNA from 1 species